rnacentral:rRNA from 1 species
CCUACGGGAGGCAGCAGUGAGGAAUAUUGGUCAAUGGACGAGAGUCUGAACCAGCCAAGUAGCGUGAAGGAUGACUGCCCUAUGGGUUGUAAACUUCUUUUAUAUGGGAAUAAAAUGUUCCACGUGUGGGAUUUUGUAUGUACCCUAUGAAUAAGGAUCGGCUAACUCCGUGCCAGCAGCCGCGGUAAUACGGAGGAUCCGAGCGUUAUCCGGAUUUAUUGGGUUUAAAGGGUGCGUAGGUGGAUUGUUAAGUCAGUUGUGAAAGUUUGCGGCUCAACCGGAAAAUUGCAGUUGAAACUGGCAGUCGUGAGUACAGUAGAGGUGGGCGGAAUGCGUGGUGUAGCGGUGAAAUGCUUAGAGAUCACGAAGAACUCCGAUUGCGAAGGCAGCUCACUGGACUGCAACUGACACUGAGGCUCGAAAGUGUGGGUAUCAAACAGGAUUAGAUACCCGUGUAGUC